rnacentral:rRNA from 1 species
AGCGAACGCUGGCGGCAGGCCUAACACAUGCAAGUCGAACGAUCCUUCGGGAUAGUGGCGGACGGGUGAGUAACACGUGGGAACGUACCUUUAGGUUCGGGAUAACUCAGGGAAACUUGAGCUAAUACCGGAUAAGCCCUUUUGGGGAAAGAUUUAUCGCCUUUAGAGCGGCCCGCGUUAGAUUAGCUAGUUGGUGAGGUAAAGGCUCACCAAGGCUCCGAUCUAUAGCUGGUCUGAGAGGAUGAUCAGCCACACUGGGACUGAGACACGGCCCAGACUCCUACGGGAGGCAGCAGUGGGGAAUCUUGCGCAAUGGGCGAAAGCCUGACGCAGCCAUGCCGCGUGAAUGAUGAAGGUCUUAGGAUUGUAAAAUUCUUUUAGCAGGGACGAUAAUGAUGGUACCUGCAGAAAAAGCCCCGGCUAACUUCGUGCCAGCCGCCGCCGUAAGAC